GUGCCAGCAGCCGCGGUAAAACGUAGGAGGCGAGCGUUAUCCGGAUUUACUGGGCGUAAAGCGCGUGUAGGCGGUUUGGAAAGUUGGAUGUGAAAGCUCCUGGCUUAACUAGGAGAGGUCGUUCAAAACUACCAGACUAGAGUAUGGGAGAGGGAGGCGGAAUUCCGGGUGUAGUGGGGACAUGCGUAGAUAUCCGGAGGAACACCAGUGGCGAAAGAGGCCUCCUGGCCCAA
rnacentral:rRNA from 1 species